CUUUGGGGGUGAGAGGCCAUACGUUGACCCUGAUAUCAGUGGCACACAUCACCGGCUGGCAAUUGGUCGUCUGAUAAAAGAACAUGCACUGAGUCAGGGUUUGUCUCGGCCUGAAUAUCUGCCACAACACAGGUCGCCUUGGUGGCCCUUUGCCUCAGUCAGUGACGGAAAAGGUGAAGGGCGUAAAGCUUUCACUGCUGAAAAGCUGAGGCAGGUGGUACGCUCAUACAAUGCGUAUUACAAUCUCCAGCUGCAGCAGUCUGUUGAGGCACCACCAUCACCCCCAUCACCAGCACCAG